rnacentral:rRNA from 1 species
CGCGAGCGUUAUUCGGAUUUAUUGGGCGUAAAGCAAGUGCAGGCGGAUGAAUAAGUUCUAUGUUAAAUACAGCUGCUCAACAGUUGUUUGCGUCGAAUACUGUUCAUCUAGAAUGUGGUAGGCGGUUUUGGAAUUGAAUAUGGAGCGGUGGAAUGUGUAGAUAUAUUCAAGAACACCAGAGGCGAAGGCGAAAACCGAGGCCACUAUUGACGCUUAGGCUUGAAAGUGUGGGGAGCAAAUGGGAUUAGAUACCCCAGUAGUCCACACCGUAAACGAUGGAUAUUAGAUGUUGGGGUCUGUGCCUCAGCGUUGUAGCUUACGUGUUAAAUAUCCCGCCUGGGUAGUACAUAUGCAAAUAUGAAACUCAAAGGAAUUGACGGGGACCUGAACAAGUGGUGGAACAUGUUGCUUAAUUCGAUAAUACACGAAAAACCUUACCAAGAUUUGACAUCUCCCGCGAAGCCAUAGAAAUAUGGUCAUAGGUUAUCGGGAUGACAGGUGGUGCAUGGUUGUCGUCAGCUCGUGUCAUGAGAUG